UGGAGUAUCACAGCAUAUGAAAUUCAGUUGCCUGUUGGCAGCAGGAAGAGCUGGAGCGUCGACCAUGAGGCUGACAGGAAAGUGAAUCACUAAUUUAAAAACUUACCUCAUGAUUAGCUGGAACACACGCUGAGCAGGAGUGGACACGGGACUGCUGAGAAAUGACAUCACCACAAACCCCAGGAACCCUAUCCAGGAGAAAGAUAUAAAUAGAAAGUAGGAGACAACAGCUUCACUUCACUUGGAGGUCACCACUGAUGAUGUUACCUAGCCAGCCUACCAUGUGGAACCUUAUCAUGGGCUUUACUGAAAUCCACCUAUACCCCGUCAACUGCCCUACCCUCAUCUACAUGCUUGGUUACCUUCUCAAAAAACU